GGGUGGUGGUGGUGACUUGUAAACUGGAGUUGGUGGUGAUGGUGAUUUGUAGACUGAGUGUGUAGAGAGUAGUAUGACUCCUUAGGUGGUGGUGGUGAAUUGUAAAUGGGAGUUGGUGGUGGCAGAGACUUAUAAACUGGUGCGGGAUUGAUAUAGCUCCUUGGGUGUGGAGGCGAUAUGUAGACUAGGGUUGGUGGAGGUGGUGACUUGUUGACUGGGUGUGUGGAGGGUAGUAAGGCUCCUUAGUAGUGGUGGCGACUUGUAAACUGUAGUCGGUAGAGGCGGUGACUUGUAGAUUGGGGUAUGAGGAGGGUAGUAUGGCUCCUUAAGUGGUUGUGGUGACUUGUAAACUGGAGUCGGCGAAGGUGGCGACUUAUAGACUGGGUGUUUGGAGGGUAGUAAGGCUCUUUGGGUGGGGGUGGCAACGUAUAAACUUGAGUUAGUGGAAGUGGUGAUUUGUAGACUGGGUGUGUGGGGGAUAGUAUGGCUCCUUAGGUAGUAGUGGUGAUUGGUAAAUAGGAGCCGGUGGAAAUGGCGACUUAUAGACUGGGUGUGUGGAGGGUAGUAAGGCUCUUUUGGUGGGGGUGACGACUUGUAAACUGGAGUUGAUGGAGGUGGCAAUUUGUAGACUGGGGUGUGUGGAGGAUAGUAUGGCUCCUUGGGUGGUGAUGGUGGUGACUAGUAAAGCGGAGUUGAAGGUGAUGGUGAUUUAUAAAGUGGUGCAGGAUGAUAAGGUGUUGGUGAAGGAUGGUAUGGCUCUUUUGGUGAUGGUGGAGAUAAAUAUUGAUAAUUUGCUGAGCUUUGGGAAGCCAAGCAAAGUGACACAAAAACCACUAAAAGAGUGGAAAAUAGAGAGGCCAUUUCUCCCAAAAAGAAACAAAGGAGAGAAGUUGUUGUCCCUUUAAGCUGCACUCAAAGCCCUUUGUAUAGCUUUCAUUUAGAAGGUAUAAGGCUAAAGUUAUGUAUUUUUAAUUAGUUUUGUCAUGUUGUCGGUUCAAUUUGACCUUUGUUGGUAUACUUUUUUUUUUUUGUUGGAUAGAAGGUGCAAGCUAAGCAAAGAAAUUAACUACUAUGGCAGCUAUACUAUUUAUGAUGCAAUAAUUCAAAAAAAAAUACGUGGAUCCCACAACUUCCCACAAGAUUUUAGUUAUAGGAAUCUGAGCACUUUUUUUUUACACUUAGGGUGUGUAUGGUACGAUGGAAAAUAUUUUCUGAAAAAUGUUGGUUGUAGUAAAAAAUAUUUUCUAAGAUAAUUCAUUUUUUCCUAUUUGAGGGAAAAUGACUUCCCUCAUGGACCAAGGGAAGUUAUUUUUCGGAAAAUGAUAAAUGUGACUUAUGCCCCCAUCCUCACCCCUCUUCCCACCCCAACAACACUCAUAUUCACAUAACUCAAAAAAUUCACAUUUUUAAAAAAUUUAUUUUACUCAAAAUAUUUUUCACUGUGCUUUGCUUCAAUUUUUCACUGCUUGAAAUAAAAAAUAGUGAAGCCCGACUUUUUUUCAUUUCCAAUGUUCGUUGAAUGUAUUGUUAUUUUCAUAUGCAUAGAGGAAGACUUACCUAUGUUACUUUUGCUAAUUGCAUAUUUUAUUUUGUCAUCGAUGUUACUUCUUUCACGAGGUUGAAUAAGCUUAUCGUCCCGUUAUAUUUCUAUUGAUUGUAGUAUCUUGAGAUUGUCCUGAAAAAAUGUUGAAAAGUGUCUCCUAUAUUUGCUAAUUAAUAGUUGCUUAAAUUUAGUGAUUGUAAUAUUUUAGUAUUCGAUAUUGAUAUUAUUUAUUAUGCUUAAAUUAGUUCUUACAAAUUGUUGAGUUGCUAGAUGCACUGAUAUACUAGUUAACAGUUAGUAGUAUUUUCUAAAAAAAAAAAUUUCACUCACCAAUCAAACACUAGAAAAUAUUUUUCUAAAAAAUAUUUUCUACUCACCAACCAAACACCAUAAAAUAUUUUUCGAAAAUAUUUUUCACUCACCAACCAAACAUGAGAAAAUAAAUAGAAAACCAACUUAUUUUCCAAGAAAACAUUUUUCAUGAAAAAUAUUUUCCAUCGUACCAAACACACCCUUAGUAUUUGAAGAAUUCAAUUCUUGUGGAUUCUGACAGCUUAACUAACCUUCACUUAAGUGCUGAGAAAUUUAAAACAAUAUGUAUACAGUAUCAUAUAUUCUUUAAAAGAAAUGAUAUGUCAUUGUUAAAAGAGUUUAAUCUAGAGAAAACUGUGCAUGUGACUCGCUUUCAUUACCAACUAAAUCAAUUAUGUUCUUUCCUUUUGUGUAGUAGAGCUAAAAGAAACAUCAACCGAUUAUUUUGUAGCUCAAUGUUGAAAACUUAUGUGGUUCAAUAUGAUAUCUCUGAAAAUUUUACAGCUUGUUUGAUAGCUGCUGCCUAAUAAUGUAUUGUAUCGUGUUGCUAGUUUAAAUAUAAUGUGUAUUUUGAUUGUUUCUUAAAUUUUACUGUAUCAUUAAAUCUAUAACUAGAUAGCAAUAAAAAGUCUCAUUUGGUGUAACGACCUAUUUGAUGUGAUCGCGUUGUUACCUUUUUUCCCCUUUUUAUUUAUUAUUUAAUUAUCUUAAUGCUCCUUUAUCCUAUAUUUUUAUAGUAACUCUACCUCACAUUUUUCUAUUUUCCUUCUAGGCUUAUCCUUGAACUGUUAUAUGAAGGAUGCAAUGUAAUGACGAAAAAGGUAUAAUAAAUCCAAAUAUCGUAACAUUCACUAAAAUAAUAAAGUACAUACAAUACAACAUGAUACUUUAUGAAACAAUAUCAUUCCAAGUUAAGGACUUGAUUAGAAUGUGCAUGUUAAGUGUCUGAUGGGUUACUUAAGUAUAAAGUUCAAGUCCAUAUAAAAAGAUAAACCCUAAUUAUAAUGCCUUCAUCAUGGCUGGUCGACAGUAGUCUACUACUGAAUUUCCUCCUUUGAACCCAAAUUCUAUUGUGAAUAUCCAAACCCUACCGUUGGAUAAAUCUUUUGUUGAAUCAAUCAGUACAACAAAGUUGGACACCGUCUCUCGCAAAGAGGUGGUCAUGGUGGAAGGAAUCCCGAAUGUCACACUGAAAAAAGUGGAUACAGUGAAUAAAAUGGAGAAUUUGCAAUUUGUUGUCAUAGGUAAAUUCACUUAAGAAUGGACGGGUAUAGAAGAAUUAAGGAAUAUUAUCCCACAGCAAUGCAACAUUAAUGGUGAUUGUCAAAUUGGAGUAUUCAGAAAUAAACAUAUUUUCAUUCGUUAGACACAGGAGUCGGAUUUUAUUAAUAUCAUCAUCUCAAAGGGAGCUUUUUCCUUGCACUGUAAGGAUGGGUUCUCUUAUUUGAUGCGAACACUCUCACACUUAUCUAUGAUCCCCUUUUCAAAGAAACUUUAGAGACUACAAAGACUUUCGCAUGGAUUUCUUUCCCAAAUCUAUUGCCUACCUAUUAUGUCAAGGAAUGUUUGUUUUCUUUAGCUGCAACAGUGGGAAAGCCUGUCCAACUUGAUCUAGCCACCAUUAAUAGGACUAGACCAAGUUGUGCAAGGAUUAAGGUCUUGGUUGAUCUAAAAGCUGAUUUCUCUAAAUCAGUCCGGAUGGAUAUUGAAAAUGAAGAGUCAGGUAAAUGCAGGACAAUAGUGAAGCGGAUUAAAUUCGACCAUAUUCCUAAGUAUUGUCAUGAAUGCAAUAUGCAAGUUCAUGCUAAGAAUCAAUGUAGAAACUUAGGCACCCCAGAGGAUGCAACAAUGGCAGUAACAGUGGAUAAUAAGGAAUAAAAGAGGCCAGUACAACAUCUUCCUAAAUUCACAAUGCCUUUUGUACACAAAUUUCAAAACGGAAAAGCAUGAGUUCUUUCGAGUGGGAUUGUAGUUGGAGAUCCUACUAACUGGAUGGUUAUUAAAAAUGAUAAGAGGAUAGUUAAUACUUCCCAACAGCCUCUUUUAAUGAUAUAGUUAAUACUUCCCAACAGCCUCUUUCAAUGACAAAUAACCAAUUUGCUGCUCUAGCUACCGACGACAAAGAACCUGCUGAAUUAAACAUUUCGACAAAGGAGAGUUCAAACCUUAAGGCAUGUACGGAUGUGUUCCAAAUAAUAAGGAAAAUGAAAAAGUUAAUCUGUGGUCCAAUAAAGAAUCUGCUAAAGAGUGGGUAUCAAGGGAUUUUGGCAAGCUAGGUGAAGUUCCCAAUUCUGUAAUACCUGUACAGCAACAAGGCAGUCAGCAACUAAGUAAUCAACAACAAAGGCAAGAUAGAGAUAAUAAUGCUAAAGAGAAUAAUAAAGAUGGUAAUGGGAUGGAGAAUGAUAUGCAGGUUAAAUCUUUAAUAAAUCAGGAGCAUAAUAUUGAUGAUGGUCAGCAACAAUGCCUCAUAGUCAAAAAGGACAAUCUGCAAUCUAUAGAAGAUGUGCAACCAGAUACCAAGCAAUAGUCAAUGCAGAUUAAUCAAGAUUUUUACAGUGGAAGCUAUGAUAAUGGAGAUAGGUCAGUUGAGGAAAGUGUGGGGAUAACAGUUGUGAUGCAAGGGGAACAAAAUGUGUGUUUAGAAAUAAUGGAGAUUCCAAAACCAGUGCAGAUAGAUGAAUCAUUUAUCGUUACCAAGAGUUCUCCCAACAAAGUAAUACAUGACAUUGUCUCUCAUAGUUUAGGGUACAUUAAAUGCAGUAAUCAAACUCACAUGGCCAAAGGAGUUAAAGAAGUAGAUGUAGAAGAUGAUUCGAAGGAUCAUGCUCCAUCGGAAGCUGAUUUAUCACCAAGACUGAUGAAAAUCUCUAAAAAAGGAUAAAAAAGAAUGUGGAUGGGAGAAAACUCACAACCUACCAGAGUUCAUCCUAAGCGAUCCAAAUCUGCCCUAAAUUAUCAAUGAAAGCACUUAUUUGGAACAUUAGGUCUGUGAAGACACAACAAGAUUUCAAAGACUUCAGAUGCUUAAUAAUUAUCAUAAGUUCACCGGUUUCAGUUUGUUAGAGCCUUUUCAGAAUGUUAGAUAUAAGAGAAGAUUGAAAAUGCAUAGGGCUAUGUCAAACUGCAAUAGCAAGAUUUGGUUUUUCUCCUCUCAAGAUGUGAUAACAACUGUUAUUAAAGACACUGAUCAUCAGCUACAGUUCACUUGCAGGAGUAGGCUCAGAGCUUAGAUUUAUUACUCUUGUUUAUGCAAAGUGUUCUAAAGAGGAGAGAUUAAUCUUAUGGAAGGAUAUUUAUCAAGUUGCUUCUGGAAUUUCAAAACCUUGGAUGCUAGGAGGAGAUUUAAUGUUGUUUUGAAUUCUGAAGAGAAAAUUGGUGGCCUUCCAAUUCUUGAUGCAGGCCAUGGGGACUUUCAAUCAUGUAUUUCUUAUUGUGAUUUGAUGGAGAUACCUUUUAAAGAAAGUUCUUUCACUUGGUGGAAUGGUAGAGCAGGUAAUGACUGUAUUUUAGAAAGAUUGGAUAGAAUUUUUACUAAUCAACAACAACAACAACAACAACAACAACAACAACAAACCCAGUGUAUUCCCACCUAGUGGGGUCUGGGGGGGUAAGAUGUACGCAGUCCAUACCUCUACCUCUGCUGAAUUUUUACUAAUCAAGAUUUACAAAAUAAGUUCAAUCACAUGAAGGUAGAACAUCUUGCUACUAGUUCAGAUCAUGCUCCCAUGUUGUUGUAUUGUUAUGACAGAGCUAUCAGUUACAAGAAAUCUUUUAGAUUUCUUAAGUUUUGGACUGAUCAUCCUAAGUUCCUAGAAGUAGUAAGGCAGAAUUGGUGUUCUUCAGGUUCUCAGAGUCCAUUCUUAGAUUUCAAAGCAAAGAUUAAGAGAAUUAAAGUUGCUUUGACAAGAUGGAGUAAAGAGACUUCUGGGGAUAUUUUUAAAUAGUUGAUAAUCAGGGAAGAAAUUGUCAAGAUCAAAGAGAAAUUAUUUGAGGAAUGCCCUACGGCUGAUAACAGCGAAGUGUUGCAAAGAGCUCAGUCCGAGCACAAAAUAUAUCUUCGUUUUGAAGAGAUUUUUUGGCAGCAAAAAGCAGGUUAUGACUGGUUUGAGAAUGGUGACAGAAAUAUUAAAUUUUUUCAUAGCACUGUGAAGGGGAGGAGGAAAAGAUUGAAUUUGAAUAGAAUUCAAAUUAAUCAGGGUAUUUGGCUGGAUAAAGAAGAAAAGAUAGCCGCAGAGGUUGUUAUGUUUUAUCAGGACCAAUUUAGACAAGAACAAGAGGCUAAUGUUUUUUCAUAACUGAAUAAUAUACCUAAGAGUAUUUCUGAUGAGCAAAAUAUUGUUUUAAGUCAGUAAGCUGAUCUUGAAGAAGUUAAAAAGGCACUUUUUAGCUUAAAUGAAUAUAGUGCAAGUGGCCCGGAUGGGUUAACAAGUAGGUUCUAUCAGGUUCGCUGGGAUAUUAUUGGUAAUGAUGUUCUUAAUCUGGUGCAAGAUUUCUUAAAAGGUAAUACUCUUCCCAAAUUCAUUAUUCAUACUAAUUUGGUGUUGCUUCCCAAGAAGGAUUUUAUUCAAUUUUUCUCAGAUUUGAGACCAAUUAGUCUUAAGUAAUUUUAUUAAUAAGAUCAUUUCUAGGAUUGUGCAUGACAAAAGUGAACUUCUUUUGCCUAGACUGAUUUCUUUUAAUCAAUCUAAAUUUGUCAAAGAGAGAAGAAUUAUUAAAAAUUUCCUCCUGACUCAAGAGAUAGUUACUGACAUCAGAAAAAUGGGUAAGCCGGCUAAUGUGGUCUUAAAGCUUGAUAUGACUAAGGCUUAUGAUAGGGUUUCCUGGUUUUUCCUGAUGAAGGUUCUAAGAAAAAUAGGGUUCUCAAAAUUGUUUAUGGACUUGUUUUGGAGAUUAUUGUCUAAUAAUUGGUAUUCUAUACUAAUUAAUGGGCGAUCACACGGCUUUUUUCACUCAACUAGGGGAGUAAAACAAAGAAAUCCUUUAUCUCCAGCUUUCUAUUUGAUGAUGCUCAAUAUGUAGGUUAUGAUAUGCCAAAGUGGAGUUCCAAUAUUAAUCAUCUUGCUUAUGCAGAUGACACUAUUAUAUUCGCUGCAGCUAACAGAUACUCUUUGAGAAAGAUUUUUUCAGUGUUACGGGAAUAUGAAACUCAAUCAGGGCAAAAAGUUAAUAAAGAGAAGAAUGCUUUCUACAUGCAUCAGAAUUCAGCUGCAGUUGAUAAACAAAUGGUGGAAGAUUGUGCGGCUAUUUCUAAAGGCCAAUUUCCUUUGAAAUACCUUGAAUGUCCUAUCACUCAUGCUAGAAAAAGAAAGAGUCAUUAUUCAGAGCUAAUUCAGAAGGUUAAGUCAAAAUUACAGGCUUGAAAAGGUAAUAUUCUCUCAUAUGGGGGGAAAGGAGGUCCUUAUCUCUAGUGUUCUUCAAAGUGUUCCUAUACAUAUCCUUUCUGUUGUUGUCCCUCCUAUUUGUGUAUUGAAGGAGCUUCACAGAAUAUUUGCAAAUUUUUUUGGAGUAAUAAGGCCGAUGGAAGAAACAAACACUGGGCUGCUUGGGUAAAGGUGUUUUUACCAAAACAGAAGGCAGUUUGAGUUUUAGAUCGAUGUUUGAGGUAUCUCAAGCCAUGUAUCCUAAGUUCUGGUGGAAGUUCAGAACUCAAAAUACUACUUGGUCCAACUUUAUAUGAGACAAGUAUUGCAAAAAGCAAAUACCUUCACUAGUUUAAUGGAAAGGUGGCUCGCAAGUAAGGAAGCAUAUGUUGCAAAAUAGGGAUCUAGUGGAGCAAUUCUUGUGGUGGAACCUAAAGGAGGUACUUCUACAGUUUGGUAUGAUAAUUGGACUCAACUUGGUCCUCUUUUCAAACACCAGGUAGAGGUCAUUCUUCUUUUCCAGUGAUGGAUAUUGAGGAAUUCAUGUUGGGCUCAGACUGGGAUUUUGAGAAUAUGCAAUAUCAUUUAUCAGAUAAUGUAGUAGAGCAUGUAAGAUUACAUUUGAGGCUUGUACGACAUCCUGGAGAAGGUGACAAGCCCUGGUGGAUUAAAUUUAGUUCUGGCAAGUUCUCGGUUAAAAGUGCUUGGGAAGAACGGAGGAAAAAAACGUUUGUAAUGAGUCAUUUCAGAAGAUCUGGGUAAAAGAGAUUCCUUUCAAAAUUUCUUACUUUGGUUGGAGAGUUUGGACAAAUAGGAUUCCUGUAGCCUCUGUUUUAGCUAAUUGGAAUCCUAACUUGUCUCCUCUUUAUUCAUAUUGUGUUUCAAGAAAUCAUGGAGCACCUCUUUCUAAAAGGUGAAGUGGUUUAUUUCGGUUUGGAUUUAUUACGCCAAUGCUGCAGGUAUUCUGGGGCCCUGGGUUCAAAUUAAACUAUCCAUAAAGAAGUGGUGGGAUAUAAAUGGUAAUUAAAGACAAAGAUUCAUCUUUCAGGUAGUUCCUACUCUCAUUUUGUGGUUUUUACGGAAAAGAAGGAAUGCAUUAGUUCAUGGAGGUUCAUACUCUACAGCCAAGGUUAUUUGGGAUAUUAAUGGUUUAAUUAAGAAAAUUCUCAGAAAGAAGUUUGGUUAUGAUCAGUUACCAUCUAGUUGGCCUCAAAUAGUUGCUUUUUGACUUAUUUAGACCUACAUUUUUAUCUAGAUGGAUAAGAUGGUAUCCCCCACCUAGGGGAUAGUGGAAAUAUAACACUGAUGGAACCUCGAGAGGUAAUCUAGGUCGAAUUUCAGCUGAUUUUUGUGUACGAAAUCAUGUAGGUGAUCUUGUGUAUGCUAAGGGUUUCUCUAUUCCAGAUUCCACUAAUCUGGUUGUUAAAGUCAUUGCUAUAGGAGUUGGUUUACAUUAUUGCUUAGAAAAUCAAAUUGUCAACAUUAUUGUGGAAUCUGAUUCCCUUGUAGUAGUCAACAUGAUUAAUGGAGUGUGGGAAAUUCCUUAGAGUGUGAUAAUGGAGGUCAACUCCAUUAAAGAUAUGAUGGAUUCUUGUUCAGCAAGAGUACAACACUCCUUAGGAAAGGGAAAUACUCUUGCUGAUUAUUUAGCUAACUUGGUUUUUCAUUUUGCAGGUAACUUUGAAUUCAACAGUUUUCAUGAAAUUCCAAGCGCAGGUAGGAAGAUUAUCAAUCUAGACAAACAAGGCAUUCCACAAAUGAGGAUAAGACAGUGUACAUCAACUAAUUCAACAAGGGAUGGAUCGCUACUGCAGAUUACAAAGUGAAUUUACAAACUCUAUUAGCAGUGACUAGUUACUGGUGAAUUUAGUGCAGUCUGAAUUAGUUUCGUUUGGUUAACAUACCAUGCACCUGUGGGAAUUUUUAGGUGUUACAUAGAGUAUAAACCCAGGACUCACUUAUACUAGUUGCUAAUUUCUAGGUAUAGAGUUUAUAAAAAUCAAGCACAAAUUUAGAGGCAUUUCAUAGUCUCAAAUCUGUUGAUGAGGAGAGGAUGGAGUACCCGGGACCUCAAAUUUAGCGGCGGAAGAUAGACAGGGUAUAAUUAUCAAGCAAUACAAUUCUUUUAUACAGAUUCCACUUCAGAGAAGAACAAAAAUAAUCAUUGCCAACUUAUGGAUUGCAAAGUGUCAAAAUACAAAUUUCAGCAUUUGGAGUAACACAAGAAGGCAAGGAGCAAGAUAAGUAUUAAUGGACAGUAGUGGUGAUUAACAUUCACUAAUACUGAUUGAUUUCUAAGUCAUACAAUUGAAAUGGGGGUUAAGGUGAACCUGUUAGUUCUGGAUCCUUGGUGGUGGUAUCAAUCUCCUUGAGGUUUAUUCCGCUAGGAAAAAGAGAGAACAGUGAAAUCAUUUUUUUCAUUUCACAGAUGAGUUUAGAAUAGAAAAAGGGAGGUGACUUACCAUAUCAUCUGCAAUAAAUAUUUAUUGAUUUGGAGCUGUAGAAAUUUAGUUGAAACCAAUUUCAUGAAGUUUGUAAGAGAUUAAAGUGUCUUAGUGAAAUUUGAUGGAUGUUCCAUGGCAAUAAUGGCUUCCACAACUUAAUGCAACAACCAGAUGAGGUUGGAGUAGCAAAGAUUGAAACCAUAGUUGCCUCUCCGUGAUGUCUUUCAGCUUUGAGUUUUAUCCACACAUUCCUUUUCCUGCUUACAUUUUCUGUUUUUGGUCUUUUCAGAUGUCUGGAUAUAUUUGUUGCUUUUGUUUUGGACCCGGGUCUUGCUUAACUUGGGCCAAUUUGUACAUAUCUUUUCUGCUCCUGAAUAAAUUGGGCUCUGGUCCAUCUUCAAUUAAAAAAAAGGAAAAAUGACAUGGACUGACCAGUUUAAAAAAAGGAAAUUUUGCAUAUAUACCGACAUGUUUACUCUUAAUUACCAAAAAUUUCAACAUUUUUCAAAAUCUCCAAAAAUUCCAACAUUUGACCUCUGAUAAUACAAGUUAAUCACAUUAGAUACAUACUGUUGAUAUAUGUAUCUAAUGUGAUUAACUUGUAUCAUACAUUAGAUAUAUGUAGGGUUACAUUAGAUACAUGUAGGGUUACAUUAAAUACAUGUAGGGUUAACUUGUAUCUCAAAAAUAGUCCCAAAUAUGAAAUGUUGGAAUUUAUGUAAUUUUUCAGAAGUAGGGGGAUUUUUAGAAAUUUUGAAAGUUAUGAUGUUUAUUUAUGUAAUUUUUUGUUAAAAAGAAAAAAAAUAGCCCACACUAUGAAAAUAUGGACAAUUGGAGCCAGUAGACCCAAUUUAUUUCCUGUUUUUUCAGUCAUUUGGCCCAAAACUAUUCUCCUUACACAAUUAAGGGGAUUAAAUACUCUUCACAGUAGGCUACUCUUAAAUCACUUUUCUUUUCAAACUAUACUUUCCCAAAAAAAUGUUCACCUCUAUUAUGUGUCGAUCAAUCUACUGUGUUUUGUGAUAACAAUUGAGUUAGUAGGGCACAUGCAGUCUCUAUACCCAAUUGAUACACUUUUGUACCAUAUUGAUACAUGUUUAUACCCAAUUGAUACUCUUUAUACUACAUUGAUACACUUUUAUACUCAAUUGAUACUCUUUUAUACUAGAUUGAUACACUUUUAUACCACGUCGAUACAGUAUGUAUAUUACAUAAAUACAUCUUUUACAGAGGAAAUUUGUGCAAGCAUAUACAGUAACAAUACCAAAUUAAUACAGUAAAUCAAAAUUAGUAAGUACGAACAUAAUUGAUACUCUUUAAAAUUAUAGUAUUAAUAGUACAUAAAGUAACAAAAAAAAAGAUCAAAUCAUCUUUCCAUCAAUUAUUGUUUUGAUUUAGUUCAUUCUUUCUCCUUAACGCUCUUUUAUAUUUCUAACUUCCUCUUCCUACCUUUAUUUUCUCUUCUUUUUUUCUUUCCUUCAUUACUAAGUUAGUUGUAAACACCCAUAUGAUGAAGUAUGUAUUUACUCUUGAGUUGAUGUCAUAUUUAUCCUACUAAGAAAAAUCACAGGUUCUGUAAGGAAUUGUCUAGACAUGGAGUACAUAUAAAAAUUUAUUCUGCCACUUGAAAAAAACCUGUAAAAAACUAAUUAAAUUCAGAUUUUUUGAGAUUUUAUACAAAAUUUAUGAAAUGAGAAAGGUAAAUUGGAGUAUCGAAAAAAGGUAAAGGAACAAAUAUUUAGGAGUUUGAAUGGAAAGGAAACUGGGAAUGAAAAGAAAAGAAAGAAAGGGAAAGUUACUUCAAGGAUGUUUUUGAUUUUGUUUAAGCGUAUGACAGUGAAGGUUAGUUAGUGGAAUUACUCUGUGUCUAUUUAUGAUGUAUUUAAUUUUGACUGCUAUUUUUUUAUAUUAUUUUAGUUUUAGGUGUUAUUUCUGUCAUUUGCCCAAAAAAAAAAACUUACUAUUUUACUACAAUUCUUGUUGGUAAGAAUACAUUAUUUCUUUUUUUUUUUUAGGGCAAACAACAUAAAUUUCGAGAAUUUGGAGCUUAAUUACAGAAAAUUCUGAUAUUUUGCAUAAUUGUUGAAAAUCUCAAUUUUGGAUCUGUUGAGAUACAUUAUUAGCUUCUGAUACAAUCAAAAAGAUACAUUUUUAACUUUGUAUAGAUAUAUAAUUAGCUUCCGCUACAUAUUUUUUAAAUUUUGCGUUUGUUGAGAUAUAUAAUACAUCCAAUGAAGAUAUAUUUUUUUCUUUGUAAAGAUAUAUAAUUAGCUCCCAGUGCAGUUUUUUUAUUUUUGGGUCUGUCGAGAUACAUAAUAAGCUUUCGAUACAUCCAACGAAGAUAUAUAAUUAAUUGAGCUUUUUGUAGUUAUUUUGUAAGAGUGAAAAUUUUGUAUAAAUAUAAUAAGUUAAGAUGUAUAUUUAUACUAUUUUUCCAUAAUUUGCUUGCGAACCAAAUCGACCACUAAAGAAUUGAAAAGUUAAACAAUUUGUUCCCAAUACAGAACAAACUUUAGCCUAAAAUUUAAUGCUAAAAAUUACUACAAUGAGCUGAGUGGCUGAAAUGGUGCCACUUAAGAAUAAUUUGGUGGAUGAAAUGAAUGAAUUGUUUUGGAGUACAAAUUUUGAUUUAGACAAUCUAUUGAAAUUUAUUAUAGUACUGUUUAUAUUUAGGGGCCAUUUUUCAGGAUCUAUGAAAAAUUUAUAAUGUUGAGUAGAACAUACUAUAAAAGUAAUGUUGGAUAGAGCAUAUCACACAUUAGCACAAUCCUAAUCAAUAAUGAUAGCUAUUCAUCUCUAGUUCACUUUUAUAGUUAAUCAAAGAAUUAUUAACAACGAAAAUUAAUUUUCUUGUUUUGGUUUUCUAUCAUUGAAUCAGCAAUAGUUUGAUAUAAGAACUAUUCAGAACAGACUAAAUUAAAGAGAAAGAUGGAAUACCGUCAAUGAAAAUAAUAGGAUAUGAUAUCUUCAAAGAUAAAGAAGGCAGUGAACUUUUUACACAUAUAAUACGUAUAAUUAUUAAAGAAUAUAAAAGAAAUUAAAAAAAGGACAUACAGUACAUAUAUAAACUGGAAAAGAAGAUCAAUAAUGUAAAAGUUUGAUGUUAACACUGUUCCUUAAUUAAAAUUUCCAUAAUGAUUAUACUCGCUAUUUUCUUUCAUUUGCACAAAUCAAUAUGCUCCUUUCCCCCCUUUUUUUCUCCUGAUCACUCCUUAAAGAACGAGACAUAUAGCAUACAUAGAGAAGAGAGUACUUUGUCUCCCUCAAUAAAUACCUUGAGAAAAAAAUGUAACUCAUUAGUAGUUUCUUGAUUUUGUAAAAUUUUCUUUAUUUAAAAAAGAGUAACAUUGGAAGAAGGUCAUUAGUAUCUUUUUUAUUAUCUAAAACAACAUUUAUUAUCUUUUUUAUUAUCUAAAACAACAUUUAUUAGGAGCAAAAUAAAAAAGCUAAACAACCACUUAUUAGAAACAGAGGGAGUACUAAUUAUCUGAUAGUGUUUUCAGUGUUACGCAUCAUGAACUAAAAGCUUAAUUUAAGAAGCAUUGACUGCUUAAUGAAAUCUUUUAAUUCACAAUGAUAAUAAGGAAAUCCAAUUUGUGUUGUAUCAUUCUAGCCUUUCCAUUUUUUAUGGAGACAAAGCAUUAAUAGACAAAUGGAGAUUGGACAUAUCAAGAUUUCAGUCUCAUCCUGUCAAAUCAUUAAUUGUAAAACCUUCAUGUAUUUCUAUGUUCAGCCUAAGAUAUUAAGGGGUUAAUAUUCUUUCAAAACAUGGAGAGUUUCUGAUAUUGGGAGACAUGGUUGUUUGUCGAAUAUAUUUAUUUCUCAAUAAUUGAAAUAUAUAAUUGUAUUUGAUGUGAAGAAAGUAUUAGUUAAAAUGCAGUUUGGUUCAUUUUGGCUAGGGAUUCCAUCCUUUCCAUGUAUAAAAGUUUUUGAAUGUAAGGAUGAGAAAUCAAGGUAUCUGCUACACUUUUUUUAUAUAUACGUGUAGCGCAUGUAUCGAGAAAUUAGUAAAAGAAAAAAAAAAUUCCUCAGCUAAUUCUCAAUCAACACCAACUCCAUCUUAGGAAAGUGUGGUUGGUUCUGUUCUUCCUCGAAUUCAAUGAAUUUUUGUCAUAUUGUCAUACAUAUAACGAAUAAUAUAUAUAUNNNNNNNNNNNNNNNNNNNNNNNNNNNNNNNNNNNNNNNNNNNNNNNNNNNNNNNNNNNNNNNNNNNNNNNNNNNNNNNNNNNNNNNNNNNNNNNNNNNNNNNNNNNNNNNNNNNNNNNNNNNNNNNNNNNNNNNNNNNNNNNNNNNNNNNNNNNNNNNNNNNNNNNNNNNNNNNNNNUAUGCCUCUUUUCCUCUUUAAAUUUUAAAGUAAUAAUUAAGAAGAAAAAAGAAGAAGAUACUAUUCAAUAAUUUAAUUCUGAUACCAUCAACAUGGAAGACUCCAUUUGCUUCAUCUAACAAUGGACUUUGGCAUUAUAUAAUUAACAAAACAAUUAAUUAUUAGGAUAACUUAAUCACCGACAAAGGUUUCUUACUAUUAUCCUUAUGAGAUUCCACUAGUUAAGCUAAAUAUUUUUAAUCGACGUAAGAGUUAUGAAUGUAUAAACAAGUAGAUCUUAGCUACAUUGACCUAGUCAAUCAUUAUUAUUACCGACAUAUUUAUGCUAUACAAAUAUUUGUCCUAAUGCUAUCUUUUAUUUAUUUUUUUAAUGGAAAAGGGUCAAAAAGAUUCCUGAAUUAUUCGAAGUGGAGCAAAAAUAUCCCUCAUUAGUUUUUUGUCUCAAAAGUAUCCCUCUCUAAUGAAAUAACACCAAGCAUGUCAUGUAGACAAAAUACGUCACUUGAACAGUUCACGUCAGAUCGACCAUCUUUAUUAAAGGUGAAUGCUCCAUUAAAUGAGAGAUUUUCCAUGUGGAUAUUGGCGCCUAGCGUGGACUGUUCAAGUGGCGCUUUUUGUCCACGGACAUACUUAGUAUCAUUCUGUUAGAGAGAUGAAUAGUUUUGAGCCAAAAAUUUAAUGGAGGAAUAGUUGUAAGCAAAAAAAUUAACGAAAGAUAUUUUUACUUUAUUUCAAAUAAUUUAGGAAUAUUUUUAAUCGUUUUUUGCUUUUUUAUGAUUUCUAAGUUGCUUAUAAUUUUUUUAUUACUACAUGAUUAACAAUAUUUUUUUAUUUCCAUAAAUAACAGAGAGUAAACUAAGUUGCACCUUAAUGGUCGAAAAGUAUUCACUAUUUUUUUUAGACUUAAAGAGGUGAUUCUGAUACAUGUCUUAUGAACAAUCAUUACAAAUUUUAUUAUUUUAAAUUUUGUUUUAGAUAAGUCUAUGAUUAAGUUGUUGGUGACCAAUUUAUUCAAUUGAGUGAGGCUGGCAUGUCCAAAGAUUUUAGGACGAAGAAACGGGUUAUUAUGUUAAUUAGGUAGAUUUAUUUUAGGGAGAAAUAAGACAUAUGCUUUAAUUUGUAAAUAUUAAUAAGUAUUUUUCCAUUUAAGCAUAGCUUCUUUUAAAUUUAAAUUAGUAAUCAAACAGUGUUUAGUAGUAUUUUCUACCUUGUUGGCUUUGUCACACAUUUGAGAGAUGCUAAAAAUGUGUAUUAAAAAAAAAAUAAGAUGGAAAGAGAAGCAUACUGGCUCAAAGGUAAAGCCGCUAAAACGUGCUUUAAGGUUCAAAAAUAGUAUUUUUAUUAUAUAAUUAGUCUCUCCUAUGUUUUACAGUUUAUAGUCUAUAUGCAAUAAAUCAAAUUCUAUUAUAUAAUUUUUUAUAUAAAAAUAAAAGUUUCUUUAAAGUUAUUAAAGGAUGUCCAUUUGUUGUAAUAAAAUACAUUGAUUUUGGUUCUCAGAAUCCUAUUGGUACAUAAUAAACUUUGGCUAUUUUAAUUCAAAGUUUUAAAAUAUCAAAUACAAUUCUAUAAUCUUUAACUAAAAAUUUAAAAAUAAGAUUAUUAAACUUCCGAUGAUAUGAUUGUAUAAGAAAAUAAUAAACAUUUUAAAAUGUUAUUGUAACUUUAUAUAAUACAUGUAACAGUAUUUUUCUAGUGAUUAUAAGAAGAAUUUUAUUGAAAAAUCAAACGUAAUUGUAACUUGCGGUAUUGAAAGUAAAAUUUGAUGGCGAGGAAAAUAUGAGUCCAUUCUUAUGUCAUUAAAAUUUAUAAACCUUUUUAUUAAGAUGACUUGAAAAUGGUAUUUAACUAUAUAUAAUUUAUAAUUUUUUAAUUAUCAUAAAUAAAAUAUUUCAUUUUCGUGAUAUUUUAGUUUGGAUUGCUUUCUAUCUAUCAUUAAUGACAAAAUACAUCGUCAGACCCCUUAAAUUGACACCAUUUUUCACUUUGGCAUCUUAAGUGGACAUUGUUCACCUUUGGCAGUUCAAAUAACCAUAAAGUGUAUCAUUUUGACAUCUUUCGACAUCAAUAAAAGUGUGUGUUACACUCACUGUCAACGUGGAUAAAACGGCCAACUGAUUUAUGCCAAUUCAUUUAAAUUGCCACAUCAUUAUUUAUAUUCACAAUUAGUUUUAAAAAAAAUAAAAUCAAAACAUAUGGCAAUUAAUGACAUAAUUAUCUAACUCAUUAAUAUAUAUACAAAAUUAAAUUAAAAGAAUCAAUUAAUUACUGACACGUGACAUUUUUCAAAAUAAUUAUAAAAUUAUUUAUUUUAUUUGGACAACCCUCCACCCACCUCCCACCCCCAAACUCCAAAGUCAUCUUCUCUACCACCAUCUAUCCCCCCGAUACCCCCCACCCUAAAUCAUCUUCUCUAUUUGGCAACACCCCUCUUCCCGUCAUGUUCUCCAUCUCCCUCCCCCCCCACCACCCCCAACCCCUGCCUGAGUCAUCUUAUCCUCUCCAUUUGCCCCUUUGAAAAGAUGAACACUCAAUCAAAGAUUAUAGUAUAUAUGUAUAUCAAAGACCUUGAUUAGUCAUAGCUUGACCUCAAAAAUUAGAAGGCAUUAAAUGACUGUUUUUUUUCUUAACAAAAAAUAAAAAAGAAAUGAUUGACCUUGAAAUAUAUUCAUCAGUAGUAUGUGUGAACCUAUUCUUUGGCAACGCAGUGGUCUUCUUACUACUUCAGUUGCAGUCAUAACAUGUUGACAAAGAUGGUGAUUGCUCAACAACAAAUCACUCGUUGUUGUUAGUGUGUUAGUGUGUUUCGUUAUUCUUGAAAAGUUCAACCUCCAUUAAUGGAAGUUAAGCUAAAGAAAGGUUGUGUGAAGAAGGCAAUGUGAGGAAAUUUUUUGUAAUUAUUUGGUCAAUAAAACAUGUGCCAUUAAUUUAUUGGAUCAAUUUUUACUGAUUUGGCAAUAGAGAUUUUCAAUAGUUUUAAAAAAAAUUUAAAGAUGAAAAAUUACAAAAAUAUCCCUAAAAAUUUAUGAAAAUACUCUUCAAACGCUCCAAAAAGUGAGCAACGUCCACUUGAAGUGCCAAAAUGAAAGAUAGCACCAAGUUGAGGACCGACAAUAUAUUCUUUCUUCAUUAAUUAGUGCAUGUACUACUCCUGUACUCCAUUGGUUUUGAUUUUUUCUUGUUCCUGCACAUUAUUUCUCCUUUUUUACUGUCUAUAUAGUACUAUUUUUUAACUUAGUAUGUUGAAAUUAAUUAUUUUUUAUUUGCAUAUGAAAAAGAAAUACUUAACUAGAUUGAUUCUUAUUCGUAUAUAAAAAGUUAAAAUAGUGAAAUUCAAGAAAAAUAUAUGAAUUUUAUAUUUGGCUUUAGAUGGCUAAUUAUAUUAAGCCGCCCUUGAAGGGACGGUGAAUUGUAAUAUUUUUUGUGGUUGACUAUGAGGCGAGCUAUAAUAUGAAAUCAAAUAAGUAACAUAGUAUAAUUAUGUGCUAAGUAAUGUGUCAUAUGAUAUUUUUCAAUUGAUUUGAAUUCAGUGUGAAUUAUAGUUAGUCCUUCCUUUUGGAUUUUUGUUAAACUGAAAUUUUCAUUUUUAUUACAUAGAGAGAGAAGUUAUAAAAAGGAUGAUUACAACGUGUUGUAACUUUUCAGGACGAAGAACAACAAGUCAUUGUUUUAUUAAAGAGGGAUUGUCCCUUGUCCAUAUCAGCUUUCAAGAAAAUAACAGAACAAAUGUUGAAUCUACUACUAUGAGAAAUUCAUCAUUUGUUUUGUUGGAGUUAGCCAAUGUCUGCUUUCUCCUUCCUAAUCCUAAAAUUAGCCAAACCAACUUUAUCCAACCUAUAAGUCCUUUAUAUUCAUCAUUAAGCUCUUGAAAUUGUUGUUGAGUACAAUGUUGAGGGUGUACUUAAUUUCUAAUCAUACAAUAGCGGUCUUUUUCACUCUUUGUAGUUGAUAUAUUGCCUCACCAAACACUAUUUUCCUCUCUUCGCUCUUUUUAAAUACACAAUAAAUGAAUUAGGAAGUUACAAUGCUUGUUAAGAAUAGCAUAGAGCUUUGGAGAAUGUUUGGACAGGAUGUACAGUUUCUUUUCCUAGAAGGCAUAUAUAGUCUUUGUGUGCUUGAUGUCUUGAAAAAGGAUAGAGAAAGACAAUCCAUACUACAUGAAAAAUAUUGAAUUGAGACAUAAUAUUUAUCAAUGGACAAGUCUGGCAUAGAGUUUAAACGGAUUUGUGAUAGAAUUAACUAAUUUAUAGUGUUGAUUUUAAUUUUUUCAAAAAUAAAUCAUAAAAUAGAUUGCCUAGCUUGACGUGUUAUGUGAUAUUAUGCAUAGAUUAAGUCCAUUGGAGGUUGUCUGAUUAGAGAAUCGGACAAUGCUUAGCAUGGGAAUUUCAUUGAAUAUGGAGCUAAGUGAGACUUUAAUCUCUCAUUUACUUGCUUUUUCAAAAGCAUUAUUUAAAACUGAGAAAUCGCUUCAAACUACUCCUCCACCCCAUUUUAGUUGGGCACAUUCUAUUUUAUACGGUGAUUAAGAAUCAUAAAUUGAAUGAUAAAUUUUACGAUCUUACCCUUUACUCAUAUUAAUGUUAUUCGUUGGGCAUAAGAAUGAACAUUGAAAUUGAAAUUGUUAACAUUUAAUAUAUACUAAAAAUUGUAGGGGAAAAAUAAAAAAAUAAUUAAUUUUAUCCUAAUUUAGUAAGUGGUCUUUUUUGGUGGGCUGAAACGCAUUAAAAAGAAAUAGCGGAGUAUUACAGUAGCACCUGGAUUAACCAGGAUCUACAAAAUUUGAGUUUGAGCUUAUGCCCUCUAAUGAAACAUUACAACACCUUGUUUGCCUAAUGAAACUAGUUCCUAGGAUGUCAGCCCAGGUAGCUUUGCAGCAUACAUUGGAGGAAUUACAAAAGAGUUUCUCUGUCCACAAACUUUCAGUCUUGCUCCUUCCUUAGCUAAUGCAUCCUUCACCAUAUUCUGCUCUUUAUAGCAGUGCUGGAUUUGUGGUCGUCCCAGACUCCUGAUUAGCAACCUGCAUCCAUUAAUUAUGGCAUUAUAGUGGAGGUUUCCCUCUUUGAGCAUAAUAAUAACCUUUUUCGAGUCUACAUUGAUGUCCACGGGAACUAAGGACAUUUCCUCCAUAAUUUUUAGUCCCUUUAGUUGAGCAAAGAGCUCCAUCUGGUUAUUAGUAAUCACAGGGAAAACUUUUUUGAAACCUGUAGUCCAAUUCCCUUCAUUGUCUCUAAUAACCCCUCCAAUACCACCCCUACCAGGAUUUCCCAAACAUGAGCCAUCAGUGUUAAGUUUAAAUCUUUCUUUAGAGGUUGGUUCCCACUUAACACUAAUGUUCAAUAAUCUAUUUGUCACGACCUGAAUCAAGGUCUGGCCGUGAUGGGCAUCCCUAGCCAACCAAGGUCGGAGAUGACCCCUAACCUUACCUCAAGAGCACAUCAGUAAAAACAAACAACAAAAUCCAACCAAGAUAAAAAGAGAAACAUAUGAUUCCAAAAGAAAGUUAAGAGUCAAAACCAACUCCAUAAUAAUAUCCCGACACUGCCUACAAAAGUCUCUAAUCCAAAAAUACCAACUAAGUCAAGACAUGUCCCCGACUAUAACAAAAGAAAUUCAAAAGUUCUGAAAUGAUAAAUGUAACUAAGAAAGAGGCCAAGUCUUUUGAUAGUUCAUAAGUUGGUUGAACUUGUGUUGAACUUAUUGUGGAUUAAAUACAAAUUUUGUACCCAGAAUAACAAUCUUAAGGAAUUUAUUAAUAAUUUUAAUUUUUGAGUUUCUAGAGAUUAAAACUUUUUGCUUUCUACGCUGUUUGAACUUUAUAGUGAUUUGAAGUUAUAAAAACUUCAUCACGGGUUAAUGUUCAUUCAGUUGAUGAUUAGAAGAACAUAAAAGCUUCAACAUUAAACUAGAAAUAAGUUGUUUAAAGUUUUUAAAACUUUAUUCUUAGUAUUUUGACUUACUAAAUUGGUUGUCUUUUUGUCACAGUAAAAAUGAUUAUUGAAAAUCAAGUUAAUGAUGGAAUGGUCAAUGUCACAACAACAAAUAUUGCUACUUAAAAUCGUUCAAAUGCUGCUCCGCCAAGGCACUGACAGAAAAAUCAGAAAGUUUUCUAGUGUGGAUUUUAAAAGAUGGCAGCAGAAGUUGUUCUUUUAUCUGACUACAUUAAAUCUACAAAGGUUCAUCACUGAAAGCAUUUCAGAGUUUUCGAAAGAAAUAUCCAAAAAUAUACUUUAUUACUACAAAAGCUUGAAAGCACUUGAAUUUUUUAUAUAAGAACUACAUACUGAGUGGCUACAACAUGGCAUGUACAAUGUGUACAGCAAUAUGAAGACCUCUAAGGAACUAUGGGUAGCUUUGGAAAAGAAGUACAACAUAGAGAAUGCAUGAAUGAAGAAAUUUAUUAUUGCAAGAUUUGUAGAUUUUAGGUGGUAGACAGUAAUACUGUAGUUACCCAAGUUCAAGAACCGCAAGUCAUCAUUCAUGAUCUCCUCACCAAAGGUAUAAAUUUGUUCUUGAUACUUACAUAGUCUCUGAUGUAGGCUUAAUUGUGAACGAGGCUUAUCAAGUAGCUGCUAUAAUCGAGAAGUUACCACAUUUGUGGAAAGACUUCAAAAACUACUUAAAGCACAAGCACAAGGAGAUGUCUUUCGAAGACCUUAUUGUGAGGUUAAGAAUCGAAGAGGACAAUAAAGCAUCAGAAAAGAGGUCUCGAUGGAAUUUACAAUAAGUAGAGAAAAUAUUGUGGAAGACGACCCCCAAUAAAUUAAAGAGAGAAAGGAAGCGUCAGGACAAUAAGGCAAUCCUCCUAAGAAGAAAUUCAAAGAAAAUUAUUUUAACUGUGACAAAGUUGGCCACAAGUCUUCAGAUUGUCAGGCUCCUAAGAAGGACAAGAAAAGAGGAUCAAGCUAACAUGGUUGAAUCCAAGAUGAUGUGGAGAUCUAUGUGCUAUGCUUUUGGAGUGCAUGUUGGUUGAAAAUCCUAGAGAGUAGUGGAUUAAUUCAGGUGCCACUAGCCACAAUGUGCCAACAAAAAAUUAUUUCCAUUAUAUUUUCUGGCUCAGGCUAAUGAGAACAUAUUCACGGUAACUCUGUUACGGUAAAGAUUGAAGGAAAAUGCAAGAUUUACUUGAAGAUGACAUUGGGCAAGGUGGUGACACUAAACAACGUCCUUUAUGUUUCAAAGUUGCGAAAGAACUUAGUUUCUACUUCACUUCUAACUAAAAAUAGAUUCAAAUAAGAAUUUGUUUCUGACAAAGCUGUAAUUAGUAAGCAAGAAGUGUAUGUAGGUAAAGGUUACUUCAUCGAGGAUUUUUUUAAGAUCAGUGUAAUAAAUGUUGAAAUCAAUAAAAAUUCUGUUUCUUCUUACUUACUUGAGUUAAAUGAAUUAUGGCAUGAACAUUUAGGACAUAUUAAUUACAAAACUUUGCAAAAACUGAUUAAUUUAAAAAUUUUGCCUAACUUUGAGUGUAAUAAAUCAAAUUGUCAAACAUGUGUGGAAUCUAAGUAUGCUAAGCAUCUAUAUAAGUCUGUUGAAAGGAAUUUCAAUCCCUUAGACUUAAUCCACACAAAUAUUUAUGCUAUGAAGUCAAUACCAUCUCAUGGUGAGAAAAAGUAUUUCAUAACUUUUAUUAAUGAUUGCGCUAGAUAUUGUUAUUUUUAUUUGCUAAAUGAUAAGAAUAAAGUAAUAGACGUAUUUUGGUAAUAUAAAACUAAAGUUGAAAACCAGUUGGAUAAAAAGAUCAAAAUAAUAAGAAGUAAUAGGAGUAGAGAGUAUGUAUCUUCUUUUGCAGGGGUAUGUUAGAAAAAAGGAAUUAUCCAUCAAACUAAUUUCCCGUAUUCACCUCAAUCAAAUGGGAUUGUGAAAAGAAAAAUUGAAUGUUAAAGAAAAUAAUAAUUGUCUUACUCAUAAGUUCAGAUAUACCGCAAAACUUGUGGGGGGAAGUUAUCCUUACAGCAAAUCGAAUACUCAAUAGAGUUCCCUAUAAGAAGACACACUCUAUCCUAUAUGAAAAUGAAAAGGAAGGAAACCCAACUUGAAAUAUUUCAAAGUGUGGGAUUGUCUAGCUAAAGUCCAAGUCUAUAUACCUAAAAGGAUAAAAAUAGGACCAAAGAUUGUGGAUUGUGUGUUCAUCGUAUAUGCUACAAGGAGUAAAGCAUUUCAAUAUUUGGUUCAUAAAUUCGAACCAUGAAAAUACGAUAAUCUGAAUCAGAUAAUAUUAAGUUCUUUGAAUACAUUUAUCCGUAUAAAAUUGGACAUGAGAUGUCUAGUGGAGGAUCUAAACAACCUCGAGAUGAACCAAAGGAGAAUGUACUUAAUAAUGAGAAUCAAGGUGUAGUACACGUCAAAUACCGUCAAUUUUCUUUGGAUAAGAUUUUGUAACAUUUCUUCUUGAAAAUGAGCCUUAAAAAUUGAAAGAAACGAUGUCGUCUUCAGACCCAUCCUUUUGGAAAGAGGCAAUCAAUGGUGAUAUAGAUUCAAUCUUGAGCAACCAUACUUAGGAAUUGAUUGAUCUUUCUCCGGUAAAUAAACCUUUAGGUUCUAAAUGGAUCUUCAAAAGGAAAAUAAAAGCUAGUGGUACUUUUGACAAUUAUAAGACAAGACUUGUUGUGAAAGAUUUUAGACAAAAAGAAGGCCUUUAUUAUUUCGAUACAUACUCGCCAAUAACAAGGAUAACGUUCAUUCAGAUGUUGGUUGCGUUGACGACAGUAUAUGAUGUUGAAAUUCAUCAAAUGGAUGUGAAUACAACGUUCUUAAAUAGAGAAUUGAAGGGAGAAAUUUACAUAAAACAACCUAAGGGUUUUGUAGUUUCUGGUAAAGAAAAGAAAUUGUGCAAACUUGUUAAAACACUUUAUGGAUUAAAACAAGCACCCAAAUAGUGGUAUAUAAAAUUUGACCAAACCAUGUUGGCAAACGAUUUCAGGAUAAACGAAUGUGAUAAAUGUGUUUACAUUAAAGACACUCCAAAUCACAAAGUCAUUAUUUGUUUGUAUGUGGAUGACAUGUUGACCAUCAGUAGAGACAUUCUAACAUAAAUGCUAUGAAAUAAAUGCCUGAGGGCAAGUUUGAUUUGAAAGACCUUAGAGUUGCUGACGUAAUCUUAGGGAUAAGAAUUUUUAGAACUCCAUAGGUAUUGGCGUUGUCACAGUCGCAUUACAUUGAAAAGGUGUUUGACAAGUUCAAGCAUUUAGAUUUCAAUAUUGUUGAGACUACAUUAGACAUGAGUUUUGCAUUUCAAAAGAAUGAAGGUGAAAGUAACUCACAGUUGGACUAUGCAAGAGUGUUGAAAAGUUUGGUGUAUAUAUCAUAAAUUGUACGUGAGAAGACAUAGAAUGCACUAUUAGUAAAUUAAGUCGGUAAAAGACUACUCCUAAUCAAACUCAUUGGAUGGAUAUGAAAAAAGUUUUAGGGUAUCUAAAACAUACCCAAGACUAUGUUUUUAUUAUAACAAAUAUCCAGCGUAGAUGAGGUGACUUUUCAAAAUAAUGUAAUUUUUCGUGAACCAUUACUUUCUUUCUGAAGCACCACAUUGUGGCUAUAAAUGCCUGAAUUUUUCCUCUGAUAAAGGUAUGAAGAUUUGAAGGGAAAAACAUUUUCUUUUUCUUCUUAAAACUCUGGUAUGAUCUUCAAACUAUUGAGUGAGUUCGUUGUUCAGAAAAUUUGAGGUACCACUAUUUUUUGAAGAGAAUCAUUUUUCGUAGGGAGGAUAUAUUCCUUUAACCUCGAGUACUUGACUAGAAUAAUUUUUUUAAGGAUACAUCGUGAAUUCAGUGGAUUUGACUCAAUCGUUUCUGUCUUCAUCCCAUUUUCUUAAAGUUGGUUUUAUUAUUUUUCCAGAAAAAUAGUUUGAACAUUAUAUUGAUAGUUCUUCAUUUGUUUGAACUUGUGUUUGAAGUUUUUGAAACUUCAUUUUGAUAGGUUAUAAGUUGUUGAACUUGUGUUGAAGUUAUUGUGGAUUAAAUACAGAUUUUGUACAAAAAAUAAUACGAAAUAGCUGUGAAACCUUGGGGAGCGACCAACUAAAAGAAUUUGCACCGAAGUCGAUCCGAAAUCACUUUCAAAGUAAUGGCUUACCACGACACAAUAUUUUCAGUUCCAUAUUAAUAUUAGAGUAAUUUUUCCAACAAGUGGCAAAGUUUGUUAUUUAACUACAAAAUUUGUUCGUCAACAAAUCCUUGUUUUUCUUUUGUUGGGUAGUAUAUUUUGGUUUUAUCUAAUCAAUCUAUUGACAAGCUAAGCGCCUACGAAAACGAUGUAGAUGUUCUACCUACGGGGGCGGGGGGGUGUCUAUUACAAUUACAAAAAUAAACUGAAUGUUGAGUUUCAGUUCCACUAACACCUUGCAAAAGUGAAUUACCCAUGAAAGAUGGGGGUAUUAUAUCAAAAAAAAAAAACAUAUCUUUUGUUGUUUUCUAAUUUCUAACGAUAUAUUUUUGAUCCAUUGCUUUCCCAUAGUAUGCUAACUUGACAGCCACUUUUUUUUGCUUUUCUAUAUACGUGGAACACUUUUUUUUUCGUCAAAAUGCGAAUCAUAAUUUAAUCCGUCAAUUUUUACUAAAUUGUAAUUGUCUUUUUUUUUUUAUAAACAGAGAUAGCAGGUAACCCAAGAAAAAAAAAUGUCUAGCAGAACAUAUUACGCAUCCUCGAAACUACUAUGACCUAUAAAACUAGAUGAUAAAAAAAUUGGUUUUAUCAUACUGGCACACUUGUAGAUGUUCCAUAAUUCAUGUAAAUUUACUUCAGAUGAAUUGUAGUUUUUGUGUUCAAAUUCAUAUAAAAACGAAAUGAUUUAAGUUUCGUUCUUUGAAUAUCGCCAUACAGAAAUAAAAUAGAACAAGGGGAGUACUUUUCUAGGUCUCUAUUUGAUAUUUUAUCAGUAACAAUUUGAAAAUAGUCAUAACUCAUACACGUAGUAGUAGGUGGAAAUGUUUCUGAUUGAAUUCGGCAUAAAAAUAUUUUUAUGGAAAAAAAGUUUCUUCUAGUUUUGGUUUAUAAGUGGAUCAAUUUUUGUGGAAAAAAAGUUUCUGCUAGUUUUGGUUUCUAAGUGGAUCAUUCCCUAGCGCUCUACUAAAUGAUUUAAUUUUAUAUAAAGAAGAUGAAAUUAUAAGAAAAAAGAGAAAAAAGAAAAAGACUAGAGAUCUAAAGAAGGGAAAACUUAAAGUAUGUGGUAAUAACUUCUUUUAUUCAUCACAUAAUCUCUGCAUUUUGCAAGGAGAUUGAAACUGAGCAAACAUACACAAAGACAUAAAAGUAAAAAUACAAAUAUAAAUAGAGUACAAACAAUAUCACUAAUAACUUAGAGAACAUGAAGCUACAAAAGAACUUCGCCUCCCGUGGGGCUUAUUGUUUACUCUUUUUUCUUCUUUUUGGCAUUGCCUCUCGAAAUGGAAAAUGCCUUUCCUUGAGCUCAACAUUCUGCUUUUCCUGCAUAAGAAUAUAAUAUUGUCAAUGAGAACAUAUAGUAACUGAUUAAUAAACCUAAUAAGUAGGAGAUAGCAUAGGCUUAUAUAUUAAUGCGUUUGCAUGAAGAAAUUGUGCAACUUGUAUUGAUUUGCAUUUAGACAAAUCAUUUUUAAGAAUUUUAGUUUGGCUUAAUUACCUUAGAUUUGAUGUUGUUGUUUCUUAGUGAUGGUAGGGAGGAGGUGGAGACUUGUAAACCGGAGUUGGUGGUGGUGGAGACUUGUAUACUGGUGCAGGAUGGUGUGGUGUUGGUGAAGGAUGGUAUGGAUUCACUGGUGGUGGUGACUUGUAAACGGGUGUUGGUGGUGGUGGAGAUUUGUAUACUGGUGCAGGGUGGUAUGACUUCACUGGUGGUGGUGGUGACUGGUAAACGGGUGUUGGUGGUGGUGGAGACUUAUAAACUGGUGCAGGAUGAUAUGGCUUCACUGGUGAUGGUGGUGACUUGUAAACGGGUGUUGGUGGUGGUGGAGACUUAUAAAUUGGUGUGGGAUGAUAUGGUGUUGGUGGAGGAUAGUAUGGCCUCUUAGGUGGUGGUGGUGACUUGUAAACUGGAGUUGGUGGUGGUGGCGACUUGUACACUGGAGUGUGUGGCGGGUAGUAUGGCUUUUUGGGUGGUGGUGGGGACUUGUAAACUGGAGUUGGGGGUGGUGGAGACUUGUAAACUGGGGUGUGUGGAGGGUAGUGUGGUGGUGACUUGUAAACUGGAGUCGGGGGUGGUGGAGACUUGUAAACUGGGGUGUGUGGAGGAUAAUGUGGCUUCUUUGGUGGUGGUGGGGACUUGUAAACUGGAGUGUGUGGAGGAUAGUGUGGCUUCUUCGGUGGUGGUGGUGACUUGUAAACAGGAGUUGGUGGUGGUGGCGACUUGUGAACUGGUGCGGGAUGAUAAGGUGUUGGUGAAGGGUGGUAUGGCUUCUUAGGUGGUGGUGGAGAUUUGUAAACAGGAUGAUGAUGGUGUGGUGGAGGGGACUUAUAUACUGGGUGGUGAUGGUUUGGUGGAGGAGACUUAUAUACUGGGUGGUGGGGUGGAGAUGGAUAGACAUGCACUGGUGGAG
rnacentral:lncRNA from 1 species